CACGUCAACGCGAGAUGCUAACGUGGAAGGAAAUUGCGUCUUUGAGAGCACGAUUUCCUUCCACGUCAGCAUCUCGCGCUGACGUGG
rfam:Gossypium raimondii Chr04_contig_1209, whole genome shotgun sequence.